rnacentral:rRNA from 1 species
AGGCAAAUCCGGGGUACUCUAUGCUGAGAUCUGAUAGCAAGCUGUACUUGUACAGCGAAGUGGUUGAUGCCAUGCUUCCAGGAAAAGUCUCUAAGCUUCAGUUACACAGGAAUCGUACCCGAAACCGACACAGGUGGUCAGGUCGAGUAGACCAAGGCGCUUGAGAGAACUCUGCUGAAGGAACUAGGCAAAAUGGUACCGUAACUUCGGGAGAAGGUACGCUGUUGUUGGUGAUGGAACUCGCUUCCUGAGCUGACGACAGCCGCAGAAACCAGGCCGCUGCAACUGUUUAUUAAAAAC